AAAACCCGGUCCCCGGGUGAUCUCGCUUUUGUAUAAGUGACCUACGAAAAAAAAUAAAGUUUAUUUCUUCAACGAACAUAUUUGAUAUUUCUUUCUUCUUCCUUCUCAUCUUUCAGGGUUGCUCUUCCUUUGCUCCGCCACUUCCUCCACCGCGCUUUGUUUUCUUUCUCAAUUUCUCAUCUUUUAAGAAGUGUUGGUCGUUUAUGUGCAGUUGUUUCUUUGUUCGCUCUUGUUUUGUUAUUUUUUUAUGGCUACUGCACCGAUAAAGUCUCAGCCUUUACACAACUUCAACUUUCCGUUUCUUAAAUGGGGGACCCACGGAGGUGGUAGUUCAUCCGCUGCCACCGCCGAUCACAGCCGUUCUCCUGAAUCCGACUCGGACCACGACCGUCUUCGUCCGACGCGUGUUGGGUCACGCUCCACCCGCAUUCACCGCUCAUCCUUUCCUCCACCACCGAAAGCCAUCAAACAAAGCCACCGCGAAGAAGAACAACGAAAGCAACGAGAAGAAGAGUCGUCAAAGCCGCGAGAAAAUGAAGCUGAAGAAGAUGAGGAGGAGACUGUGCAGAGACCAUGGAAUUUGAGACCUAGAAAAGUGGUGAUGGAGACGUCGGCGGCGGUAGUGACAUCGGCGGCGGAAAAGACGAGUGAAACGGUGGGGCCGAAGUCGAUGAGAUUAAGGGGUUUCGCUGAAAAUGGGGGAGUUGCGGAAAAGAAAGAAAAAAGGAAGUUCUGGAUAGCUUUAUCAAAGGAAGAGAUUGAGGAAGACAUCUUUGUUAUAACAGGAUCAAGACCUGCAAGAAGGCCCAAGAAAAGGCCAAAGAAUAUUCAGAAACAGCUUGAUAAUGUUUUCCCUGGGUUAUGGUUGGUUGGUACGACGGCUGAUGCUUACCGUAUUGCUGAUGCUCCUGUUAAGAAAUAGAUCUAUUGUUAGAUGCAAAACAGAUUACAAAAUAUGAAAGGGGAUGGAUAUGGUAUUAGUGAACUUGCAAAUCUGGGAGCUUUGUAGGGGCUUCCCUACAUCGGUGGGGGGCAGAGUUUCAAGCUGUGUAGUUAAUUUGCAAUCCGUAAUUGGAUGAUUAACUUUAAUAUUGAGGGUACUACAUUCUUCCUUUUAUCUGGAAGAGCUCCUUCCUCUAUACAUAUGAGUUUCGCAAGGAGGAACACUUUGAGAAGGUUCUAAUUUUAGUUGAUUAAUAUAUAUAUAUAUAUAUAUAUUUGCUUUGACUAAA